rnacentral:rRNA from 1 species
UACGUAGGGUGCGAGCGUUGUCCGGAAUUAUUGGGCGUAAAGAGCUCGUAGGCGGUCUGUCGCGUCGGUCGUGAAAACUUGGGGGCUUAACCCUGAGCUUGCGGUCGAUACGGGCAUGACUGGAGUUCGGUAGGGGAGACUGGAAUUCCUGGUGUAGCGGUGAAAUGCGCAGAUAUCAGGAGGAACACCGAGUGCGAAGGCAGGAUCUCUGGGCCGAUACUGACGCUGAGACGCGAAAGCGUGGGGAGCGAACAGG